rnacentral:rRNA from 1 species
GAUGAACGCUAGCUACAGGCCUAACACAUGCAAGUCGAGGGGCAGCAUGGCUGAAGCUUGCUUCAGCCGAUGGCGACCGGCGCACGGGUGAGUAACGCGUAUCCAACCUGCCGCAUACCCGGGGAUAGCCUUUCGAAAGAAAGAUUAAUACCCGAUAGUUUGUGAAUUCCGCAUGGGGGUCACAAUAAAGAUUCAUCGGUAUGCGCUGGGGAUGCGUUCCAUUAGAUAGUAGGCGGGGUAACGGCCCACCUAGUCAACGAUGGAUAGGGGUUCUGAGAGGAAGGUCCCCCACAUUGGAACUGAGACACGGUCCAAACUCCUACGGGAGGCAGCAGUGAGGAAUAUUGGUCAAUGGACGAGAGUCUGAACCAGCCAAGUAGCGUGAAGGAAUACGGCCCUAUGGGUUUUAAACUUCUUUUAUAAGGGAAUAAAGUCAUCCACGUGUGGGUGUUUGUAUGUACCUUAUGAAUAAGCAUCGGCUAACUCCGUGCCAGCAGCCGCGGUAAUACGGAGGAUGCGAGCGUUAUCCGGAUUUAUUGGGUUUAAAGGGAGCGUAGACGGGUCGUUAAGUCAGCUGUGAAAGUUUGGGGCUCAACCUUAAAAUUGCAGUUGAUACUGGCGUCCUUGAGUACGGUUGAGGCAGGCGGAAUUCGUGGUGUAGCGGUGAAAUGCUUAGAUAUCACGAAGAACCCCGAUUGCGAAGGCAGCCUGCUAAGCCGCGACUGACGUUGAGGCUCGAAAGUGUGGGUAUCAAACAGGAUUAGAUACCCUGGUAGUCC